GUGGGGAAUCUUGCGCAAUGGGCGAAAGCCUGACGCAGCAACGCCGCGUGCGGGAUGAAGGCCUUCGGGUUGUAAACCGCUUUCAGCAGGGACGAAAAUGACGGUACCUGCAGAAGAAGCUCCGGCUAACUACGUGCCAGCAGCCGCGGUAAUACGUAGGGAGCAAGCGUUGUCCGGAUUUAUUGGGCGUAAAGAGCUCGUAGGCGGUUUCGUAAGUCGAAUGUGAAAAAUCAGGGCUUAACCCUGUCCAGCAUUCGAUACUGCGAUGACUUGAGUUUGGUAGAGGAGUGUGGAAUUCCUGGUGUAGCGGUGAAAUGCGCAGAUAUCAGGAGGAACACCAACGGCGAAGGCAGCACUCUGGGCCAGUACUGACGCUGAGGAGCGAAAGCGUGGGGAGCAAACAGGAUUAGAUACCCCUGUAGUCC
rnacentral:rRNA from 1 species